AUUAUUUUAGUGUAGAUAUGCAUAACUAAUUUCCAAUUAGGAGGUCGAAAUAAUA
rnacentral:tRNA from 1 species